UCCAGACUCCUACGGGAGGCAGCAGUGAGGAAUAUUGGUCAAUGGGCGAGAGCCUGAACCAGCCAAGUCGCGUGAGGGAUGACUGCCCUAUGGGUUGUAAACCUCUUUUGUAUGGGGGGAAUAAGCUUUACGAGUAGAGUGAUGACAGUACCAUACGAAUAAGCAUCGGCUAACUCCGUGCCAGCAGCCGCGGUAAUACGGAGGAUGCGAGCGUUAUCCGGAUUUAUUGGGUUUAAAGGGUGCGUAGGUUGUUUUAUAAGUUAGCGGUGAAAUACCGAUGCUCAACAUCGGGGCUGCCGCUAAUACUGUAGGACUAGAGAUCGGAUGCAGCAGGCGGAAUGUGUAGUGUAGCGGUGAAAUGCAUAGAUAUUACACAGAACACCGAUUGCGAAGGCAGCUUGCUAGGCCGGAUCUGACACUGAUGCACGAAAGCGUGGGGAUCGAACAGGAUUAGAUACCCUAGUAG
rnacentral:rRNA from 1 species